UACGAGGGGGGCAAGCGUUGUUCGGAAUUAUUGGGCGUAAAGGGCGCGUAGGCGGUGCGGUAAGUCACCUGUGAAAACUCUGGGCUCAACUCAGAGCCUGCAGGCGAAACUGCCCGUGCUUGAGUGUGGGAGAGGUGCGUGGAAUUCCCGGGUGUAGCGGUGAAAUGCGUAGAUAUCGGGAGGAACACCGUGGCGAAAGGCGG
rnacentral:rRNA from 1 species